rnacentral:rRNA from 1 species
UACGUAGGGUGCGAGCGUUGUCCGGAAUUAUUGGGCGUAAAGAGCUCGUAGGCGGUCUGUCGCGUCUGCUGUGAAAACUCAGGGCUUAACCCUGAGCUUGCAGUGGGUACGGGCAGACUAGAGUGCGGUAGGGGAGACUGGAAUUCCCGGUGUAGCGGUGAAAUGCGCAGAUAUCGGGAGGAACACCGGUGGCGAAGGCGGUUCUCUGGGCCUUACCUGACACUGAGGAGCGAAAGCGUGGGGAGCGAACAGG